UGAAUGGGGGACCGGUGUUACCAGCAAGUCGAGCGAAUGGAUUAAGAGCUUGCUCUUAUGAAGUUAGCGGCGGACGGGUGAGUAACACGUGGGUAACCUGCCCAUAAGACUGGGAUAACUCCGGGAAACCGGGGCUAAUACCGGAUAACAUUUUGAACCGCAUGGUUCGAAAUUGAAAGGCGGCUUCGGCUGUCACUUAUGGAUGGACCCGCGUCGCAUUAGCUAGUUGGUGAGGUAACGGCUCACCAAGGCAACGAUGCGUAGCCGACCUGAGAGGGUGAUCGGCCACACUGGGACUGAGACACGGCCCAGACUCCUACGGGAGGCAGCAGUAGGGAAUCUUCCGCAAUGGACGAAAGUCUGACGGAGCAACGCCGCGUGAGUGAUGAAGGCUUUCGGGUCCUAAAACUCUGUUGUUAGGGAAGAACAAAGUGCUAGUUGAAUAAGCUGGCACCUUGACGGUACCUAACCCGAAUGUCCGCGG
rnacentral:rRNA from 1 species